rnacentral:rRNA from 1 species
GGGUGCAAUCAUACCAGCCCUAAUGCACCGGAUCCCAUCAGAACUCCGUACUUAAGCAUGCUCUUGGAGUUGGCUAUCAUCAAAAGUGUCAUUAUUCUAACUACUUUUGCAAAUG